rnacentral:rRNA from 1 species
UACGUAGGGUGCGAGCGUUGUCCGGAAUUAUUGGGCGUAAAGAGCUCGUAGGCGGUCUGUCGCGUCUGCUGUGAAAAUCCAGGGCUUAACCCUGGACCUGCAGUGGGUACGGGCAGACUAGAGUGCGGUAGGGGAGAUCGGAAUUCCUGGUGUAGCGGUGAAAUGCGCAGAUAUUAGGAGGAACACCGGUGGCGAAGGCGCCGCUCUGGGCCGAAACUGACGCUGAGGAGCGAAAGCAUGGGGAGCGAACAGG